GAAAACGUGUCAGUUUCUUCCCCGUGGUCGAAAAGAAAUUUGACUUUCAUUGCAAAUGAUGGUGGCAUAGUUCUCAACUAUCCAUUCCAUUCCUAAAAUUAUGUAUAUGUCUCUCAUCGGCAUAACAUACGAGUUGUUCACUCCAACUUGAAUAAUUUUUAUGCUUAGCUCUAAAUUCAAGCACACAUGUGCUAUUAUUGUUGUUGUUGCUAUCGCUGGUGUGGUUACUGCUCUUGGUAUGGUUGGGCAAAGCUUGGAUUGCUCAAAUGCAGAUUCUGAACAGGCGAGUUUAGCCUGAGACCCGCCCUUUGUUGCUUAUUCGGGUAACGAUUUGUAUAAUGUUCAUUCCAGUUACUAUGCAACAACCUUCAUUACCAGUACUGGAGAGUUUCCCAUGGUUCUUGUUCCACUUUGGGCAGGGUGGAGUCCCAUACUUGUUAUCCCCCAUCUGUUUUGAGGUGUCAUAGCCACGUUGCUGUGACGUCUGCCCCUGCCAUGGCCCUUUCCUUAGCUUGGCCAGGGUUACUAUAUCCCAUU
rnacentral:lncRNA from 1 species